rnacentral:rRNA from 1 species
UACGUAGGGUGCGAGCGUUGUCCGGAAUUAUUGGGCGUAAAGAGCUUGUAGGCGGUUUGUCGCGUCUGCUGUGAAAAUCCGGGGCUCAACCCCGGACUUGCAGUGGGUACGGGCAGACUAGAGUGUGGUAGGGGUGACUGGAAUUCCUGGUGUAGCGGUGAAAUGCGCAGAUAUCAGGAGGAACACCGGUGGCGAAGGCGGGUCUCUGGGCAAUAACUGACGCUGAGGAGCGAAAGCGUGGGGAGCGAACAGG